UGAAGCGGUAAAGCUCAAAUUUGAAACCCUCGGGAUUGUAAUUUGAAGAUUUGGCAUUGGAGAAAGCUAACCCAAGUUACUUGGAAUAGUACGUCAUAGAGGGUGACAACCCCGUCUGGCUAACCGUUCUCCAUGUAUUGCCUUAUCAAAGAGUCGAGUUGUUUGGGAAUGCAGCUCAAAGUGGGUGGUAAACUCCAUCUAAAGCUAAAUACUGGUGAGAGACCGAUAGCGAACAAGUACUGUGAAGGAAAGGUGAAAAGAACUUUGAAAAGAGAGUGAAAUAGUAUGUGAAAUUGUUGAUAGGGAAGGAAAUGAGUGGAGAGUGGUUUAGGUUUCAGCCUUCUUUCGAGGGGGUGCACUACCAACGCCGAGUCAUUGAUGCGAGACAGGGGUUAUAAACGGACGGCACUUGUGCUAU
rnacentral:rRNA from 1 species